rnacentral:rRNA from 1 species
UAGGGAAUCUUCCGCAAUGGGCGAAAGCUUGACGGAGCAACGCCGCGUGAGUGAUGAAGGUCUUCGGAUCGUAAAACUCUGUUAUUAGGGAAGAACAAAUGUGUAAGUAACUAUGCACGUCUUGACGGUACCUAAUCAGAAAGCCACGGCUAACUACGUGCCAGCAGCCGCGGUAAUACGUAGGUGGCAAGCGUUAUCCGGAAUUAUUGGGCGUAAAGCGCGCGUAGGCGGUUUUUUAAGUCUGAUGUGAAAGCCCACGGCUCAACCGUGGAGGGUCAUUGGAAACUGGAAAACUUGAGUGCAGAAGAGGAAAGUGGAAUUCCAUGUGUGGCGGUGAAAUGCGCAGAGAUAUGGAGGAACACCAGUGGCGAAGGCGACUUUCUGGUCUGUAACUGACGCUGAUGUGCGAAAGCGUGGGGAUCAAACAGG